UCCUUGUUUCCAAGGCAGUCCCGCUAGAGUGCUUGCUUUCGCCGAGCAACUAGCGGCAAGGGUUGCGCUCGUUCAAGGACUUAACCCGACGUCUCACGACACGAGCUGACGACAGCCAUGCAGCACCUGUGAACUUGUCUGUAUUGCUACAGAAAACACCCUUUCAGGUGCGGUCAAGCACAUGUCAAGCCCAGGUAAGGUUCCUCGCGUAGUGUCGAAUUAAACCACAUGUUCCACCGCUUGUGCGGACCCCCGUCAAUUCCUUUGAGUUUUAAUCUUGCGACCGUACUCCCCAGGUGGAUCACUUAACGCGUUAGCUUCGACACAGAUCCUGCUAUGCAAGACCCACAUCUAGUGAUCAUCGUUUACGGCGUGGACUAC
rnacentral:misc_RNA from 1 species